rnacentral:miRNA from 11 species
GUUAGUUUUGGGCGGGUUUUAGU